AUAAUACUGUUGAUUAUCUUUGCUUCUUGAAAGAAGUCGGGUAAUAAAUCAAUUUCUUUUCAUUUAAAGAAUCUAUUUCAUACAAAGAAAUAGAUUCUUUAGCACAGAAGGUGUUUCUUUAGCACAGAAGGUGUUUAUUCUAAGAAUGUAUGCAUAUUGCCCUUGGUAUAUCUCAUCCUUUGCUUUACUGUUCCUCCUGAAAGCCAAGUGAAACUGCUCUGAAUCAGAUUUUUAAAACUAAUUUAUUUGAGGAAACUGGUGGGAGAAAUGUGCUCAGAAGUAAAGCCAUUUCAAUAUUUUAGUGUGAUUAAAUGCAGAGUAAUUAAAGCAUAAUUCAGGUAAUUUUCAAAAUUAGAUUGUCCAAGUCUGCAAAAUGUUUUUAAACUCCAUCCCCUCGAGCAGAGGACUGUGAGGGUGUUAAAUAAGAUGACACAUCUCUGUCCCAGCUGGAUCAAUAUUUGAGUUGCUUUUAGGUCUGCCUGUCACAGAGGAACAAGUAGAUAAAUGGUGUGAAUUUCUAAGUAAUAUUCACAAUACCAGCUGCCAGGGAUGUUGUUUACUUCUAAACACAGGAUCUGCUUGAGUGUGAUGCCUCCCCUGAAGACCUCUGAGGCAGAAACACUUUUCUUCUCAUGCUGAGGGUGGCAAUGUGCUUCUGUGGAGGAAGGAU
rnacentral:lncRNA from 1 species